UCAUCCUCACAUCCCUUGACAUUAGAAUUGAAAGCAUAGGGGUGUUUCACCUCUUGCAAUGUUUAAUUCAAUAUAAUUGUUUUCUUGUUUACAUUAGUGACCAUAUCAGAGCAUGGUAUACACCUCUUGCCGUAUUCAGAGUAUUUCCCUAUGGGCAGCAACAUUUUCCUCUCCUCCUCUGGAUAUUAGGAACAAUAUCCCAGGACCGGGAUACAGCCCCAGUCACAUCUGACCAUAUCAGAGCAUGGUGUACACCUCUUGCCGUAUUCAGAGUAUUUCCCUAUGGGCAGCAACAUUUUCCUCUUCUUCUCUGGAUAUUAGGAACAAUAUCCCAGGACCAGCGUACAGCCCCAGUCACAUCUGACCCUAUCAGAGCAUGGUGUACACUUCCUGCCAUAUUCGGAGUACUUCCAUAUAAGCAGCAACAGUUUCCUCUCCUCCUCUGGAUAUUAGAAACAAUAUCCAAGGACCAGCAUACAACCCCAGUCACAUCG